UGGCAGGUCAUAUCCUCCAGGUAACACAAU
rnacentral:piRNA from 1 species